GUGAAAAUUGUGAUUCUUAUUCAUUUGACCGCUAUUGUCAGCUUAAUAAAUGUGCUAGAUUCUUCAAAUUGAAUGUUUUUUUAUUUGUUGCUGUUAUUUCAAUGUAGUUGUAUGCAGAGUUCCAGAGGAUAACCAAUCAGAACCUGCCCAACCGAUUCUAUGCUGAGCUUGACCGCCAUCUUCCACGACUAAUGACUUUAUUUAGGCAGAAGGCAUCAAGAACUGGAAAGACAGCAGAUGCUCUGGCUGAAAUUUUAAAAAUCCACGAUGAACAGGAAAACCAGGACACACACCAAACGUACGACUGUUCUCCACGGCCUCCCUGUCUAUCUGUGCGAGGAUGUAUCUGGAUUCUUCAGAACCUGCACAGACGAGUCUGAUGAGCCAGAGCUUGAUGGGGUUGCAGUGGGCCUCCUUACUGUCACCAGUGACAAUAACACAAGUGCAGUUCACUACCACCCUGUGAAAAUCUCUGUGAUUAUUGAAAGUGCUGUCAUGGUUAGUCUCCC